rnacentral:rRNA from 1 species
GACGAACGCUGUCGGCGUGCUUAACACAUGCAAGUCGAACGGAAAGGCCCUGCUUUUGUGGGGUGCUCGAGUGGCGAACGGGUGAGUAACACGUGAGUAACCUGCCCUUGACUUUGGGAUAACUUCAGGAAACUGGGGCUAAUACCGGAUAGGAGCUCCUGCUGCAUGGUGGGGGUUGGAAAGUUUCGGCGGUUGGGGAUGGACUCGCGGCUUAUCAGCUUGUUGGUGGGGUAGUGGCUUACCAAGGCUUUGACGGGUAGCCGGCCUGAGAGGGUGACCGGCCACAUUGGGACUGAGAUACGGCCCAGACUCCUACGGGAGGCAGCAGUGGGGAAUAUUGCACAAUGGGCGGAAGCCUGAUGCAGCAACGCCGCGUGCGGGAUGACGGCCUUCGGGUUGUAAACCGCUUUCGCCUGUGACGAAGCGUGAGUGACGGUAAUGGGUAAAGAAGCACCGGCUAACUACGUGCCAGCAGCCGCGGUGAUACGUAGGGUGCGAGCGUUGUCCGGAUUUAUUGGGCGUAAAGGGCUCGUAGGUGGUUGAUCGCGUCGGAAGUGUAAUCUUGGGGCUUAACCCUGAGCGUGCUUUCGAUACGGGUUGACUUGAGGAAGGUAGGGGAGAAUGGAAUUCCUGGUGGAGCGGUGGAAUGCGCAGAUAUCAGGAGGAACACCAGUGGCGAAGGCGGUUCUCUGGGCCUUUCCUGACGCUGAGGAGCGAAAGCGUGGGGAGCGAACAGGCUUAGAUACCCUGGUAGUCCACGCUGUAAACGGUGGGUACUAGGUGUGGGGUCCAUUCCACGGGUUCCGUGCCGUAGCUAACGCUUUAAGUACCCCGCCUGGGGAGUACGGCCGCAAGGCUAAAACUCAAAGGAAUUGACGGGGCCCCGCACAAGCGGCGGAGCAUGCGGAUUAAUUCGAUGCAACGCGUAGAACCUUACCUGGGUUUGACAUGGAUCGGGAGUGCUCAGAGAUGGGUGUGCCUCUUUGGGGUCGGUUCACAGGUGGUGCAUGGCUGUCGUCAGCUCGUGUCGUGAGAUGUUGGGUUAAGUCCCGCAGCGAGCGCAACCCUUGUUCACUGUUGCCAGCACGUUAUGGUGGGGACUCAGUGGAGACCGCCGGGGUCAACUCGGAGGAAGGUGGGGAUGACGUCAAGUCAUCAUGCCCCUUAUGUCCAGGGCUUCACGCAUGCUACAAUGGCUGGUACAGAGAGUGGCGAGCCUGUGAGGGUGAGCGAAUCUCGGAAAGCCGGUCUCAGUUCGGAUUGGGGUCUGCAACUCGACCUCAUGAAGUCGGAGUCGCUAGUAAUCGCAGAUCAGCAACGCUGCGGUGAAUACGUUCCCGGG